rnacentral:rRNA from 1 species
CCUACGGGAGGCAGCAGUCGAGAAUCAUUCACAAUGGGGGAAACCCUGAUGGUGCGACGCCGCGUGGGGGAAUGAAGGUCUUCGGAUUGUAAACCCCUGUCAUGUGGGAGCAAAUUAAAAAGAUAGUACCACAAGAGGAAGAGACGGCUAACUCUGUGCCAGCAGCCGCGGUAAGACAGAGGUCUCAAGCGUGGUUCGGAAUCACUGGGCGUAAAGCGUGCGUAGGCUGUUUCGUAAGUCGUGUGUGAAAGGCGCGGGCUCAACCCGCGGACGGCACAUGAUACUGCGAGACUAGAGUAAUGGAGGGGGAAGCGGAAUUCUCGGUGUAGCAGUGAAAUGCGUAGAUAUCGAGAGGAACACUCGUGGCGAAGGCGGGUUCCUGGACAUUAACUGACGCUGAGGCACGAAGGCCAGGGGAGCGAAAGGGAUUAGAUACCCCGGUAGUC